UUACACGAGGCCAGAGAGGGACAAAACUGACCAACUUCAAUGUGGAACCGUAAUCACGGCUGUACGAAUUCCACGGAGUUUGUAUGAACUUUUAGCUAACAGCUGGACUAAUUUGAUGGGCCUAUGUUUUAUGUAACCGCAGGAGGUAUUCGAGCCAUCUGUUAUUCUACUUAUUGGAAGGAAUUUAUUGUUCUAAGUUGGGCGACAACUGUGUUGAGCUUUGAGAGUUCUACAUCGUCGUUGUGGAACUCUUGUCUGUGCGAAUUCCACCGAGUUAGCCUGUCAUGGCCUGAUGAAAAGUGUAGCUAAUGGAGCCAUUCGAAUACAUGGCCAGGUACGGUAGGGGAGCACAGGGACGGACGACAUGACCGGGGAGGCCGACACGAUCGAGCAUGACGGGGAGAGAGAGCCAACCACACGGCAUGCAUUCAGCCACGCGCCUACAGGGGCCCGGGUGCGUGCGUGCGGGUGUUUCAGCAAUGGCGAAUAGUGUUUCUUCAAAUCAAGCCGAUUUUCUUCUUGGGUCAUGGCCCAUGAAAGCUAGAAAUUAACAUGAACUUCAAAUACUUAAGACAUGAUCUUUUGGAGAAAUAUGUGUGAUAUUUUGUCUCAUGAUGAUCAGCAAUGUCUGUCAAGAAGGAAGUUUUAAACUUCAAUCGAGAAAUCUUCAAGUUCAUUAUUUGUCUAAUGAGCGAUAUGUCAAUUGACAAGUGUUCAAGAAAGCAAUGUUCAAGCAAGAAAUCUUCAAAUACACAGUGGAUCUUGUCAGAAUGAUGGAGAAUGUGAAGCUUUAGAUGACACUGAUGAUGAAAACAAGGAGGACUUUGCGGAACAUUCCCAGAUGACUUCGGCCAACAAUCAAAAAAAAUAUCAGAGUAUUCAUCAGAACCUGUUCAAGCUGGUAUGGAAAGAUCUGGCUGUAUGAGACUUCGGCCAACAAUCAAAAAAAAUAUCAGAGUAUUCAUCAGAACCUGUUCAAGCUGGUAUGGAAAGAUCUGGCUGUAUGAGAUGUUUUCCAAGCAGCAGUUAAAAGCUCCGGUAUACGCUACUCCAUGGUGAAUCUCAGAGAUUUUCUGGAUAAUCGGGUAAGUAACACCCGGUUCAGACAGUCACUGCAGAGUUGCGCCGAAUAGAUUAGGAG